rnacentral:rRNA from 1 species
CCUACGGGUGGCAGCAGUGAGGAAUAUUGGUCAAUGGGCGCGAGCCUGAACCAGCCAAGUCGCGUGAGGGAAGACGGUCCUAUGGAUUGUAAACCUCUUUUGUCGGGGAGCAAAAGACGCCACGCGUGGCGUUCCGAGUGUACCCGAAGAAAAAGCAUCGGCUAACUGCGUGCCCGCAGCCGCGGUCAUACGGAGGAUGCGAGCGUUAUCCGGAUUUAUUGGGUUUAAAGGGUGCGCAGGCGGAAGAUCAAGUCAGAGGUAAAAGUGAGAGGCUCAACCUCUUCGAGCCGUUGAAACUGGUUUUCUUGAGUGAGCGAGAAGUAUGGGGAAUGCGUGGUGUAGCGGUGAAAUGCAUAGAUAUCACGCAGAACUCCGAUUGCGAAGGCAGCAUACCGGCGCUCAACUGACGCUCAUGCACGAAAGUGUGGGUAUCGAACAGGAUUAGAUACCCCUGUAGUC